AACGAACGCUGGCGGCAGGCUUAACACAUGCAAGUCGAGCGCCCCGCAAGGGGAGCGGCAGACGGGUGAGUAACGCGUGGGAAUCUACCCAUCUCUACGGAAUAACGCAUGGAAACGUGUGCUAAUACCGUAUACGUCCUUCGGGAGAAAGAUUUAUCGGAGAUGGGUGAGCCCGCGUUGGAUUAGCUAGUUGGUGGGGUAAAGGCCUACCAAGGCGACGAUACAUAGCUGGUCUGAGAGGAUGAUCAGCCACACUGGGACUGAGACACGGCCCAGACUCCUACGGGAGGCAGCAGUGGGGAAUAUUGGACAAUGGGCGAAAGCCUGAUCCAGCCAUGCCGCGUGAGUGAUGAAGGCCCUAGGGUUGUAAAGCUCUUUCACCGGUGAAGAUAAUGACGGUAACCGGAGAAGAAGCCCCGGCUAACUUCGUGCCAGCCGCCGCUGUAAAAC
rnacentral:rRNA from 1 species